UACUCCUUAGCGUCGCUAUAAGACUCCCUUUCCAGAAGAAACCGCUGCGUACAGCUCGCCGUGGAACGGCAGGGUUGUCCACUUACUUGCCGCAGCAGUUCACAACCUUUGUGUAUGCAUACGACAAGGUCCGUCCCGUCGGUUUAUAUCGCCUCAGUUCCAAUCUCGAGUCUGAGCUGCUGCUGCGCUCGAAAGCCGGCCCGUAACGCACGCGUUGCGUCACUGCAGUACGCAAGCGGGGAAAGCGAAGUCACGCCACUUCGGGCCGCGCGAAUUUGUGCGUGUCCGCGCGGAUGCGUGCGGCUUGCAGCUGGUGGCGGCUCAUUGUGAUUCAAUCCGCAUUGAGUUGAAGGAGAGAGACGGACGGGCGGACGGACGAAACGGGACCCAGUCUCUCUCGCGCCUGCUGCAGCUGUGCGUAUUCGCGAAAGCUGUUCGACGAUGCGAAUUUCUUGCUUUUAGUUGAAGAACGUCGCUUAUAUUUUGUUGCGUGCAUGGACACAUAUGCCGUUGGGGGGCUUCGUUUCUUUUUUAUUCACUCUUUCCAUUAUGAGCUCCCCUUUAGCUCCUUGUUUUUAUUCUGUUCGAGAAGUGUUCGGAUACAUUUGCAGAACGCGAUGGACUGGUUUGCCAGUGGAGAGCCCCGAAUCAGGCCCUUGACACCGAUAUUUCGGAGCAAGAGGUCCGCAUGGCCCUCCAAAACAUCCGCAGAAGCUCUACACCGGGAAAAGACAGAAUAACAAACUCUAUGCUCCGUAACCUGGGUGAUCAAUCUAUCACACAGCUUACAGAAUAUAUUAAUCAAUUCUGGAGAGAGGGCACCCUGCCACAGUCCUGGUGUCAUGCCAAAAUUAUCUUCAUCGCGAAACAGAACAAACCCCACACCAUACACCCCCACUUGUGCUGAAUGCACUCAUCCCGAUGCUACGCUUACCCACAUUUUCCUUGGAUGCCCGGCGGACCUUCCCCCGCGGGGCCCGGAGCUCCUGACUACCUGGGAGGAAUGGGAGACCCUGCUGCGCUCGACGGACCCUGCGAGGCAGAAGAUCGCCACUGACCGGGCCGCCCAUGUCAUGGAACUCCAUGAACUCACGAACGUGUAGUGCAGUGAGGUUGUGCGGGGACCCUGGGACCUACGUGCCCGAACCCCUUGGUCAAAUAGAGUUCUUUCUCUCUCUC